rnacentral:rRNA from 1 species
UACGUAGGGGGCGAGCGUUGUCCGGAUUUAUUGGGCGUAAAGAGCUCGUAGGCGGUUUGGUAAGUCGGAUGUGAAAUCUCCAGGCUCAACUUGGAGGGGUCAUUCGAUACUGCCAUGACUAGAGUUCGGUAGGGGAAUGUGGAAUACCUGGUGGAGCGGUGAAAUGCGCAGAUAUCAGGUGGAACACCCGUAGCGAAGGCGGCAUUCUGGGCCGAUACUGAUGCUGAGGAGCGAAAGCGUGGGGAGCGAACAGG